AUUGAACGCUGGCGGCAUGCCUUACACAUGCAAGUCGAACGGUAACAGGUCUUCGGAUGCUGACGAGUGGCGCACGGGUGAGUAAUACAUCGGAACGUGCCCGAUCGUGGGGGAUAACGAGGCGAAAGCUUUGCUAAUACCGCAUACGAUCUAUGGAUGAAAGCGGGGGAUCUUCGGACCUCGCGCGGACGGAGCGGCCGAUGGCAGAUUAGGUAGUUGGUGGGAUAAAAGCUUACCAAGCCGACGAUCUGUAGCUGGUCUGAGAGGAUGAUCAGCCACACUGGGACUGAGACACGGCCCAGACUCCUACGGGAGGCAGCAGUGGGGAAUUUUGGACAAUGGGCGAAAGCCUGAUCCAGCCAUGCCGCGUGCAGGAUGAAGGCCUUCGGGUUGUAAACUGCUUUUGUACGGAACGAAAAGCCUCUUUCUAAUAAAGAGGGGUCAUGACGGUACCGUAAGAAUAAGCACCGGCUAACUACGUG
rnacentral:rRNA from 1 species